UUAUCAUCAUCAUCAUCUGGAUGGAAAUACUACUGGUACAGAGAUGGGAAAUCUUAUAAAGCUUUGACAAAUGGACAAAUCAGUGUCUCAGAGGGAGGACUCUACAGCUGCAGAGGAGGAAGAGGAGAACCAGUUUACUACACAGAGGACAGUGAGUCAGUCAGGAUUGACACAACUGUGUCAAACAGGCCUGUUGUGACUCUGUAUCCAAACUGGUCUGAGAUAUACAGAGGAGAGACGAUCACUGUCAGAUGUGAGAUCCAUGGAGGAGACA